CUGAUGUGGUAUACUCCUCAAUGCCAUCGGAAGAAUCCCGGAACAUGUUCCAGUCUGUGAUAGCAAAACAGUCCUUUAGUUCAGCGUCUGCUUCAUCUGACCACUUUUUUAUUGACCGAGUCACUGGUGCUUCCUGCUUUAAUUUGUGCUUGUAAGCAGGAAUCAGGAGGAUAGAGUUGUGGUCGGAUUUACAAAAUGGAGGGCGAGGGAGAGCUUUGUACGCGUCUCUGUGUGUGGAGUACAGGUGAUCUAGAAUUGUUUUCCCUCUGGUUGCACAUUUAACAUGUUGAUAGAAAUUUGGUAGAACUGAUUUUAGUUUCCCAGCAUUGAAGUCUCCGGGCACUAGGAGCGCCGCCUCUGGGUGAGUGGUUUCCUGUUUGCUUAUUUCCUUAUACAGCUGACUGAGUGCGGUCUUAGUGCCAGCAUCUGUCUGUGGUGGUAAAUAAACAGCCACGAAAAGUAUAGCUGAAAACUCCCUAGGCAAGUAGUGUGGCCUGCAAUUUACCACAAUAUACUCUACUUCAGGCGAGCAAAAUCUAAAGACUUCCUUAGAUUUCGUGCACCAGCUGUUGUUUACAAAUAUGCACAGACCGCUCCCCCUCGUCUUAUCGGAGUGUGCAGUUCUAUCUUGCCGGUGCAGCGUAUAUCCCGCUAGCUGAAUAUCCAUGUCAUCAUUCAGCCACGAUUCCGUGAAACAUAGGAUAUUACAGUUUUUGAUGUCCCGUUGGUAGGAUAUUCGUGAUCGUACCUCGUCUAAUUUAUUGUCCAAUGAUUGUACGUUGGCGAGUAAUAUUGACGGUAACGGCAGCUUUCCCACUCGCCUUCUCCGGGUCCUGACAGGGCAUCCGGCUCUUUGUCCUCUGUACCUGCGUCGCUUCCUCUUGCAAAUAACGAGGAUGUCGGCCUUGUUGUAGAAAAAAUCUUUGUCUAAUCCGAGGUGAGUGAUUGCUGUCCUGAUAUCCAGAAGCUCUUUUUUGCCGUAAGAUACGGUUGCAGAAACAUUAUGAACAAAAUAAGUUAUAAAUAACGCAAAAAAACACAUAAUAGCACAAUUGGUUGGGCGCCAUAAAACUGCUGCCAUUUUAAUCAGGACCAGUGUGGUGGUACAGGCUGGGAAGGCUGAGGGUUAUAUGGACCAGUGUGGUGGUACAGACUGGGAAGGCUGAGGGUUAUAUGGACCAGUGUGGUGGUACAGGCUGGGAAGGCUGAGGGUUAUAUGGACCAGUGUGGUAGGUACAGACUGGGAAGGCUGAGGGUUAUAUGGACCAGUGUGGUGGUACAGGCUGGGAAGGCUGAGGGUUAUAUGGACCAGUGUGGUAG
rnacentral:lncRNA from 1 species